UACGUAGGGUGCAAGCGUUGUCCGGAAUUAUUGGGCGUAAAGGGCUCGUAGGCGGCUUGUCCAGUCUGAUGUGAAAGCUCGGGGCUCAACCCGGGAACUGCAGUUGGUACUGGCAGGCUAGAGUUCGGGAGAGGAUAGUGGAAUUCCCGGUGUAGCGGUGAAAUGCGCAGAUAUCAGGAGGAACACCAGUGGCGAAGGCGGGUGUCUGGACCGCAACUGACGCUGAGGAGCGAAAGCGUGGGGAGCAAACAGG
rnacentral:rRNA from 1 species